rnacentral:rRNA from 1 species
GACGAACGCUGGCGGCGUGCUUAACACAUGCAAGUCGAACGGAAAGGCCCUGCUUUUGUGGGGUGCUCGAGUGGCGAACGGGUGAGUAACACGUGAGUAACCUGCCCUUGACUUUGGGAUAACUGCAGGAAACUGGGGCGAAUACCGGAUAGGAGCUCCUGCUGCAUGGUGGGGGUUGGAAAGUUUCGGCGGUUGGGGAUGGACUCGCGGCUUAUCAGCUUGUUGGUGGGGUAGUGGCUUACCAAGGCUUUGACGGGUAGCCGGCCUGAGAGGGUGACCGGCCACAUUGGGACUGAGAUACGGCCCAGACUCCUACGGGAGGCAGCAGUGGGGAAUAUUGCACUAUGGGCGGAAGCCUUAUGCAGCAACGCCGCGUGCGGGAUGACGGCCUUCGGGUUGUAAACCGCUUUCGCCUGUGACGAAGCGUGAGUGACGGUAAUGGGUAAAGAAGCACCGGCUAACUACGUG